rnacentral:rRNA from 1 species
GCCCUACGGGGCGCAGCAGUGGGGAAUAUUGCACAAUGGGGGGAACCCUGAUGCAGCGCCGCCGCUUUCCGGCCUCCUUCUUUCGUUAUGUAAACUUCUAUCAGCAGUGCAUAAAAUGACGGUACCUGACUAAGAAGCCCCGGCUAACUACGUGCCAGCAGCCGCGGUAAUACGUAGGGGGCAAUCGUUAUCCGGAUUUACUGGGUGUACCGGGAGCGUAGGCGGCGAUGCAAGUCAGAAGUGAAAGCCCGGGGCUCAACUCCGUGACUGCUUUUGAAACUGUGUUGCUAGAUUGC